AAAGCUGACGAAAGAAACAGGCAGCAUCAGGUAGAACCUGACCUGGAAAUUGGGCCGGCUGGCUGGAGCGUAUAGUUACAGUGCUCUCUGGUGGCAGACGAAAUCCUCACCGACCUUCCCAGCCACAGUAAUCCUGCAAAGAAAAGGAUGUGCUGAGCUUCGAGCCUCUUUUCCUGGAGCCAUAAAGGAACAACAUAAGGUGCAAGAACAGAGCCUAAGGAAGUGCUGGAGAAGACAGUGGUACGUGACCAGAACGCCUGUUGUGAAGAGUUCUCUUAUUAAAACAACACGUUAGCUCUAAAAUAAUGGAAUCCACUCUUACUGAACUAGCAUGUUACAAAUACCUCACUAUGUCAUGUUCUCUCUCUUGCUCAUUCUUGAACCAAUUAUUUUAGCCUAUUGCUUUGCUGCUCCAUUCUAACUUUUCUCUCCAUAUCUUAGCAAAACCAAG
rnacentral:lncRNA from 1 species